rnacentral:lncRNA from 1 species
GAGGUGAUGAUCUGAUCUAGGGGUUAUAAUGAGUAUAUAUAGGCAUCCAAAACCCUAGGGUAAUCAGAUUAGGGUUUCUAGAAGCCCAAAUCCACCAGAAAUUAGGUUAAAACAAUCAGAUUUUUAGUGGGAAUAAGGCCUAAGGUGCGGCUAGGGUUAGGGUUUAGAGAUGGGCCUAUGGUGCGGCAAUGUCCAAGAAUGUAAGGAUGGGUCAUCUAGAAGCCCAAAGCCAAGAAUAGAAACUCUCACAAAUGGAAACCUCCAAGAAUAGAAACUUCCAACUUUAGAAACUUUGGGUUCUAAUUCUGAAUUCUUUGUUCUUCACUUUCAUUUCUUCAUUUCUUAAGCUCCCUUUGACCUUCAACUCGUCCAUUCCUUGUGCUCCAUAAGUAAAAACGCCAUUUUAGCUCAAUUAUGCUCCAUUUUGCACUUCCUUGCAUACUUUGUCUCUAAAACCUGAAAACACAUAAAACUAGCUUAAAAGACUACGUUAACUAAGAAAACACCAUGGAAAUGCAUAAGAACUAGCUAACUAAGGCGCAUAAAUAUGCUCCUAUCAUUAGGUACUCAAAACUGCCCAGAAAGUGGUUUUAAGGCAGUUUUGAGCCUUUUAGUUGCUGUUUUGAG